CUUCAAAGGACAAACAGCUAACAGCUAAGAAAGAAGGAUUUUCGGCUAUCUGGAGAGUUUCUUCCAAGAACGGGCUCACUGAGACAGAGGCUGAGCGAGCAGACAGCCGCAGACCUGAGGGAAGCUCUGGACAUCUCAAGUCCAAGAACGAGAGUGGCCUGUGAGCACACAGGAAAAAGCAGGCAAGGAAAUGAGACUCAGAGAGUCUCCCAGACCACACAGCGCUUAGUGGUUGCCCUGGAAUUGACACCUAGGCUAAUGGGGCGCCGCGCCUGCAUGGUAACCACCAGGAUCCCAGCCUCAGCAAGGACAGGACCCCCUUCAAGGUCAAAAUGUUGAUAACAGCUUUUCCUGGAACAGUCCAUUGCUGGAGAAAUUCCCCAGUAGCCAGAGCUCUCACAUGUUUGGUGAUAAAGGAAGCUGUACGCAGGUGCAGUUCAGACACGUUGCAAGCAGACCUGGCGGUGCUUCUUCGUUCUGUGACAGCUUUUGGGGAUCUCAGACACAUCGACAGCCUUCCCAGGCACCCCCCAAGACAGAAGGAACUGCCUAGAACGUCCCCUUCCUAAAGAGCUGUGUGCCCUUCAAAGUGCCCUUUGGGGUGUUGGGUUUUGAUCCAGGCCGCCUGACCAGGCCCCUUGAGAGUGACAAGUCAUCUAGGAGAAUAAGUCACUGAUCUAGGUGUGUUAAGAACGAGAGCUAAUCAGAGAGACACAAAGCUGUAUUUUUUUGGGGGGGGUCGGACAGAUGACACAUUGUAGGUGCCCAAAAAUCACAAUGGAAGAGAGGGAGGCAGCUCCCCAAGGGGGCAAAGUUGGCACCAUGAUGUUGUCAUUGGAGAAUGUGGGGAGCCCUUGGGGAGCCACGUGAAGCAGGGGACAGUGGGUGCCAGGGUGUUGCUAUGAUAUCUGACUCCUGCCCACACCCCGUAAUGAACGUGUAACUAUCCUCCUUACAAAUAGAAACUGAGGCUCAGAAACUGCCCAAGCUCACGCCGGCAGAGGGGGCAGAGGCAGGGUUUGAACCCAGCUCUCACUGCCUUCCCCCUCAGGGGACAGAGGUCAGCUCUCUCCACCGGCACACCCUCCCCCAUCUGACCCAGCCCAGGGCCUGGCGCUGCCCAGCCCUGGUGAAUUUAGGAGAGGCAGUCCCAGGAAUCAGGGGUAGGGGCCAGCUUGCUCUUCUUGCUCGAGUGUUUCUAGCAGAGGUCCUGGAUCGGACAAGCCAUGGCAGGAUCCCAUGCAACAGGCCCCUGGUGCACCACAAAACUGGUCAUAGCUUCACCAGCCCAGGACCGCCUGCUGCACAUCAGUCCCAGCAGAAGGUGGGUCAGAGACUCCUGGAGUUUUGGAAGGUUCUGAGUCCCCUCUGAUGAGGGCUGUGGUCUCUCCCCAUAGGCACACACUCCUAUCACAGACACAUACGUCACACACAUGCACACACAUGCAUCACACACACAAACACCAGAGGGAUUCACAGCCCUCUCCCCAGAAACUCAUUCAUGCACCCCAGAUACAGUAACUGCAUUCUAAGCCAAUCCUUUCCUUGUCGGAGACAGGGAACCCCAGGCCCAGACCAACUGUUGUCUGCUCUCUUCCCUAAUUGUGCCUAAGAGCUGACACA